ensembl:lncRNA
AUUUUCCAGUACUUAUAUUACCAUAUAUUUGUCUUUAUAUUACCAUAUAUUUGUCUGUCCCUCUGUUUAUCCGUUGAACAAUGGAAUUAAAAAAAUAUAUACAUUCUAGUGUAAAUUUCAGAUACUUCCCUGAACAAUUCAGCAUAGGCAUAAUUAAUUAUAGUUUAAUAUCUGUUUACAUAUUAACAACUUUUAACAAGCAGUGUAUGAAGUUGAUAACCUGAGCCAGUUAACAUAUGUCUUUUUCUCCUGUGGACUUUAGCCUUCUUGUUUCUGUUUUUGUAUAUGCUUAGAGUGAGGGAAGACAACUCCUUUUUAAACUGAAGUUUUUUGGUGUUGGUCAUUUUAAUGCUUAAUUGUCAUACAUUUUAAAGCUUCAUGAUAAGAAUUUUUUCUUUAUCCCUCUCUUUUGACGUAUGUUUGCUCAACUAUGCAGCUUCUUUAGAAAACUGUAAAUUACUGAUUGGGGUUUAUCAAAUCAGCUUAUACCUCAUUUCAAUCUACUGCUGCUUUUUUCUCCAUGGUAUCAUUUCUCCCUUUACUGCUUUCACCUGUUCUACCAGAGAAUCGAGAGGCAUAAAGGGUCAAUCCCACAGACGAUUAGCUGCUUAAAACAACUCUAGAAGAACAGAUGGAGUCGUUUAGAAAGUUGAAACCAUUAGUUUAUCUAAAGCCUUUGAAUUCCCUGAGAAUUGUAACUGCCCAUGCUUUCUCUUAGCCAUAAUUAGCAGGAUUAAAAAUGAUUGUACUGUACAAUGAGUUGUUGAAAUUGUAAGCCUUAGUAACCAUCUUUAGCUUUACUCUAGUACUGUUUAGGAAAAAGUUAUUGACAUAUGCCUUUAUUUUUAUGCCAAUUAUUUUGUGGACAAAAUCAGAAGAAUUUAAGUGACUUGUUGCAGAUUAUGAAGAUUCAGUGGUUUCCCCUAAAUGUCAUACAGGGAUUUAACAUCUGUGUAUGCUGUUGGGGCUUUGUGCCAGUCAUCACUUUGGAAAUCUGUGUUCUGAGGCUACAUAAAUGACAAAAAUGUCUUGGGAUUGAAGCCAAUCAACUGUGAACUGUGAAACUGAAAUUGCUCUUUUGGUUUUAUUUUCUUAAGCAUAUUGAAUAGAGAAUCCUGAAAGUUAUUUAAAAUUUAUACUGCUUCUGUUGAUGGCUCAUUUUGGCUGUGUAUCCUCAUUUAUGUACUGAUUUCUGAUAAAGGCUUGACGUUAUUAUAGCAGUCAUUUUGUGUUCAAUUUAAU